rnacentral:rRNA from 1 species
AGCCGAAGAAGGACGGGACUAACACCGAUAUGCUUUGGGGAGCUGUACGUAAGCGUUGAUCCAGAGAUUUCCGAAUGGGGGAACCCACUAUCUUUAGUCGGAUAGUAUCCUUACGUGAAUACAUAGCGUAAGGAAGGCAGACCCAGGGAACUGAAACAUCUAAGUACCUGGAGGAAGAGAAAGAAAAAUCGAUUUCCUGAGUAGCGGCGAGCGAAACGGAAAGAGCCCAAACCAAGAAGCUUGCUUCUUGGGGUUGUAGGACACUCUAUACGGAGUUACAAAAGAAAGUUAUAAAUGAAGCGGUCUGGAAAGGCCCGCCAAAGACGGUAACAGCCCGGUAGUUGAAAUGGCUUUCCCUCCAGAGUGGAUCCUGAGUACGGCGGAACACGUGAAAUUCCGUCGGAAUCCGGGAGGACCAUCUCCCAAGGCUAAAUACUCCCUAGUGACCGAUAGUGAACCAGUACCGUGAGGGAAAGGUGAAAAGCACCCCGGAAGGGGAGUGAAACAGUUCCUGAAACCGUGUGCCUACAAGUAGUUAGAGCCCGUUAAUGGGUGAUAGCGUGCCUUUUGUAGAAUGAACCGGCGAGUUACGAUUUGUUGCAAGGUUAAGCGGAAAAAGCGGAGCCGUAGCGAAAGCGAGUCUGAAUAGGGCGCAUAAGUAACAGGUCGUAGACCCGAAACCAGGUGAUCUACCCAUGUCCAGGAUGAAGGUAAGGUAAUACUUACUGGAGGUCCGAACCCACGCACGUUGAAAAGUGCGGGGAUGAGGUGUGGGUAGCGGAGAAAUUCCAAUCGAACUUGGAGAUAGCUGGUUCUCUCCGAAAUAGCUUUAGGGCUAGCCUCGAGGUAAAGAGUCAUGGAGGUAGAGCACUGUUUGGACUAGGGGCCCUUCUCGGGUUACCGAAUUCAGAUAAACUCCGAAUGCCAUGUACUUAUACUCGGGAGUCAGACUGCGAGUGAUAAGAUCCGUAGUCGAAAGGGAAACAGCCCAGACCACCAGUUAAGGUCCCCAAAUAUAUGUUAAGUGGAAAAGGAUGUGGGGUUGCUUAGACAACCAGGAUGUUGGCUUAGAAGCAGCCACCAUUGAAAGAGUGCGUAAUAGCUCACUGGUCGAGUGACCCCGCGCCGAAAAUGUACCGGGGCUAAACAUAUUA